GACGUAGGGCGCGAGCGUUGUCCGGAUUUAUUGGGCGUAAAGAGCUCGUAGGCGGCUUGUCGCGUCGUCCGUGAAAACUUGGGGCUCAACCCCAAGCUUGCAGUCGAUACGGGCAGGCUGGAGUUCGGUAGGGGAGACUGGAAUUCCUGGUGUAGCGGCGAAAUGCGCAGAUAUCGGGAGGAACACCAGUGGCGAAGGCGACUACCUGGCCUGUUCUUGACGCUGAGGCGCGAAAGCUAGGGGAGCAAACGGG
rnacentral:rRNA from 1 species